rnacentral:rRNA from 1 species
UACAUGGGGUGCAAACGUUGCUCGGAAUUAUUGGGUGUAAAGCGCGCGUAGGCGGUUACUUAAGUCGGAUGUGAAAGCCCUCGGCUUAACUGAGGAAGUGCACCCGAAACUGAGUAGCUAGAGUACGAAAGAGGGUCGCGGAAUUCCCGGUGUAGAGGUGAAAUUCGUAGAUAUCGGGAGGAACACCGGUGGCGAAGGCGGCGACCUGGGUCGAGACUGACGCUGAGGCGCGAAAGCGUGGGGAGCAAACAGG